rnacentral:tRNA from 1 species
AACGAGACCAUUUAGUUAACCCAUUUUCAGAUUGUUUGGAUCCACAU